UAAAUAUUAUGUGCUCGUUUGCCCAAGUGCACGGGUCAGGGUGUAGGCCUUGGCUAAAAGACUAAUGGAUGGACGCAGUUAAAUGGGGACCAGCAUUGCCAGAUGUAAGGAUUCUGACGAGAGCCACCUUUCUGCAAGGAAAUGUUUCAGUGGAUCCGAUGGCAACGCCUCGUGAGUCGACACCCUCGUAAACAAACAGUGCAAGCCAAUCGAUGCAGAAUUCUGUGAAGUUCUCACCUCAGCAGCUGAGUUCGGCACCAGGUCAGCCUCCCUCGUUCUCUUCCUCCCACGGCUGCCCCUCCCUCCCUCCAGACAAUCAAUCAGUCUUACAUAUCCAUUCCAGCCUUCACUCCUCCUCCUCCUCCUCCUCCAAUCCCGUUUCCUAAGGCCUCCCAAGAUGUUGAUUGGUGACGGCGGGGCGAGUCUCCAUGGCAACGCAGUGGCGCGGCCGUUUACAGUAAGACGCAGGGGCAGCCGCGGGAGCUGUUGGACUUGCCCGUCUGGCCAGAGGGGAUGGGGGGGCUCUCAGUCUCUUUGAACGUCCUGUUUGGAGAGAGAGAAGACGUUCGUCACCGGCGACGAGGUCUGACCUCCACAGGGUCCAUCUUACACCGGCCAGGCCUCCGAUGCCGGAUAUGUUUUUAUUCCAGUCACGGAACAGUCCUGAGGCAACGCCGAUUUAAAGGAGCGCUGUCAUGCUUUUCUGACUUGAGCUAAUUUGGAUUAAAUGCUUAAAUUAUGUGUGUAGGCAUUUUUUAAAUCACUGUCAGUGUAGCCGUUUCCUAGAUAUGGGGCAAAACUUAUCAAAACAAAAGCGUCCAGUGACAUCACUUAACGUGUUUGGCUUGACUCUCCAGCCCGUGUUUCCCAGAAGGUAACGGGCGCUCAAACUCCACCCUUGAACGCAGAGAUUGGUUUACGGACGGCCACCAAUGCGGGUGAUCACAUGACACUCCCAGGAAAAUUCGGUAAUGUUAGCAUACAGAUAUCAGGGAACCUACCAUGGCUAGCCUUUGCGAUAUGAGGCUCUGACAUCAUUUUGACAUUCUACCAGCUCUAUUGCAGCCAUCGCUAUCGUCAAUAAAUCUGACAGUCCACUGUUGUGUUUUGCUAGCUCACUUUACAUUGGAUGUCAACAGCUAUGAUGUUUUCACUCAUUAGAUUAAGCAACAAUGUUCUGGUUCAGUUGUAACCAGCUAAUUUAGCUAGCUAGCCCCAGUCUCUCAUAAUUCUUCAUAGCUAGCUAAAUUACAGACCGUGAUGACGUAGCCGACGUGAAUAGCCACCCACUUUAUAAUUUGUAUGGAGUUAAAUAAGAAAAAACAAGCAGAAUAAAUACAUUUCAAAUUAAAUUCAAUUGACUACAUGGGAAUGAACCGGAGCGAUUCUCGAACUUUGACGCUGCUGCAGAACGGGACGUGAUGGGCAGUGGAGUCGCUGUCCUUCCCUCCUUCAGCGUCUGCCGGCCAGUCGCUUCGGCUGCCUCGUACUGUCGGUCUCUCUCGCUCACACACAAUUCUUCCUCUGUAAAUUCUGCUCAAGGUUGUAUUUCUUUGUCAAAAUCUAAAAGCUCUUCCUCUAAAUCGGCGAAAUCAGAACGGUCUGCCAUAUCGCUCAGACUAGCCAAGUUAGGU